CCUACGGGGCGCAGCAGUCGGGAAUAUUGCGCAAUGGAGGAAACUCUGACGCAGUGACGCCGCGUAUAGGAAGAAGGUUUUCGGAUUGUAAACUAUUGUCGUGAGGGAAGAAAUUGACAGUACCUCAGGAGGAAGCCCCGGCUAACUACGUGCCAGCAGCCGCGGUAAUACGUAGGGGGCAAGCGUUAUCCGGAAUCACUGGGUGUAAAGGGAGCGUAGACGGCUGUGCAAGCCUGAAGUGAAAGGCGGGGGCCCAACCCCUGGACUGCUUUGGGAACUGUACGGCUGGAGUGCAGGAGGGGUCA
rnacentral:rRNA from 1 species